CCUACGGGCGGCAGCAGUGAGGAAUAUUGGUCAAUGGACGCAAGUCUGAACCAGCCAUGCCGCGUGCGGGAAGACGGCCCUAUGAGUUGUAAACUUCUUUUGUACGAGGGCAAACGCCGAUACGCGUAUCUUUCUGAAAGUACCCUACGAAUAAGCAUCGGCUAACUCCGUGCCAGCAGCCGCGGUAAUACGGAGGAUUCAAGCGUUAUCCGGAUUUAUUGGGUUUAAAGGGUGCGUAGGCGGGCGGAUAAGUUAGCUGUGAAAUCCCGAGGCUCAACUUCGUAAGUGCCUCUGAUACUGGUCGGCUAGAGAGUAGGAGCGGUAGGCGGAAUGUAUGGUGUAGCGGUGAAAUGCUUAGAGAUCAUACAGAACACCGAUUGCGAAGGCAGCAUACCGAGCUACAUCUGACGUUGAGGCACGAAAGCGUGGGGAGCAAACAGGAUUAGAUACCCGGGUAGUC
rnacentral:rRNA from 1 species